rnacentral:lncRNA from 1 species
CCCAGUUCAAUGUUGGGCCAACAAAAAUCUGAUGUCUGGAUGCGCGGCGCCAACAUUGAAACGGGUGGGGGGAGGGAAGGUGGAAAAUAUGUAUCAGCAAAUGGUAUACUACAACCGAAUGCAUGUGAAAACUAGAUUGUCCCAAUCUAUAUUGUCAAAGAUUGUCUGUUGAAGUAAUACCAUUACUCUUAAAUUUAACUUAAUUCAACUUGUAGACAUCAUCAAGCUGUGUACGCAGUCAAUUUUCAUAAGUUCUUCACACAUUUUAGGUCCUUUAGCAAUUUCGUUGCACACAGAUAAUUUGCGUGUACUGUGUUAUCAAUGCUUGCGUAUGCGUGUGUUAGGAAAUAGCUAAAAUCCGGCUGAAUUUCAUCGCGUAUAUUUAAAACCAGAUUUAAAGGCUUGUAGUGGUAUAUUUUAGUCACAAUUCAUUGAAUUCCAUGCAUGGUAACAGUAUUGGAACUCUAUUUAAAGAAAAUUGACAACUGAGCCAACUUGUUAGUAAACUAAGCGCGUAUAUGUGACAAUGAGACCCAUAUAGAAACGAAUCUCACCACGAAUCUCACCAUAUUUUGAUGGGCUCACACGCCAUAAAAGCCUUAAUAGCAGACAAUAUCAAACAAAUUCACCCUAGGCAUCUAAAGUCCAGCAUAUUUUACAAGAUAGGACGAUUUUACGAGUUUUCGUAACGAACUGACUAAGAUACGAAUGAUUUUCUAGCAACGAUUCUCACCUUUCUGUCAUAAAAUGGCCAAUGAGAUAUAGAUUUGUUUACAGAUUUGUAGUGAGCUUCGUUCAAAAACGAACUUAAAAAGGGAUAUCUGCAAAGUUAACCGAUUGUAAUUAAGGAAAAUGGUUUCUUGUACCCAUAUGUAUAUAAAAUGUAAGAUAAGUAAAAUUUAUAGUAACGAAAAUCAGCGUUUUAGACCGAGAUUCGUUAGUGAGCAUCGUGUAAUAUGAGACGUAUGAAAUUUGACCACUGGCUGCGUUACUGAACUGUGCUAUAAAUCUUAUACUGUAAACGUAAUUUAGCUUGGAAACGGCCACAGUUCUCAAGUAUAAGUUUGUAAAAGGCGAAAACAAUGCAUAUUUAUUUGUCUUUCCCCGCAGUUUAAUAUGUUGUGAGAUGAGUUUAAACCUACCCCACUCACAAACCGAUUAUUUCUGAAUAGUUCUGUUCCAGGAUCGUCGUAGUUAUGGUCUUUUGCAUUAUUCCAAAGACAGCAAGUAACUUUUGAGUAAAUUUCCGCGGAUUUUUCACAAGGAAGAGAGCUAUGAUGAUAUUAGACGUGAAUAUAAAUGUGCUUAUUAAGCAUUAUAGCUAGUAGCACACGUACCUGUAUUCGUAUGUAAAGUGUUAAAAAUAACACAACCCCCCCCCCCGGAAUGAAUGGAUAGUAUCUAAAACUACCAAAACUUGCCCACAUAUGCUUCGAUACUGGAAUAUAUGUAAUUUGGCGGUAUAAACUUAAAACUAAAACGUUUAAUUACCAAAUUCCAAACACAAUUGAUCACCACCAAGACAAUCUUUGCCAGAAACUAUGGGACAGCUGCUGUAAUUUCAUAUAUUUUGAAAGGAAUAGCGCCCCCCGUUCCCCCAGUUCAAUGUUGGGCCAACAAAAAUCUGAUGUCUGGAUGCGCGGCGCCAACAUUGAAACGGGUGGGGGGAGGGAAGGUGGAAAAUAUGUAUCAGCAAAUGGUAUACUACAACCGAAUGCAUGUGAAAACUAGAUUGUCCCAAUCUAUAUUGUCAAAGAUUGUAG